GCAGAUUGGACAUUGUAUAUCUGAGUUAUAGCAACUUCCUUUCUCAGGGCGAAACAUCGAAAUUUGUAAGGCUGCCACAGACACGCCCUUCAACGAAACCUCAAGAUCUUCGCAAAUUUACAUCGCAAAGGCCGUUAGAUUAUACUGACCAAGUUUGGUGUUGAUCUGAAUAAAUCUCUAGGAGGAGUUUUUUAAUGUCCAACCCCUGAAAAUAGCAAAAACGACACAAAUUUUGCAGAGAAAAUUCAAAAUAACUGACUUCCUGUUGGGAUUCGAAUUUCAUUCCAAGAGACUUUUUUGUAGGUAUUGGUGUGUUACAUGUGUGUACCAAUUUUUGUACAUGUUUGGACAUCUGGUGAGCAUGCUGUAGGUGCAGUGGGGUGGCAAAAAAGAAACAGGGGCAGGCACAACAAUUGGUGAAGUUGAACAAGUGAACAGCUUUUUGUCCCAUGUGGCUCUAACUACAAAAUACAUGAGUAAGGCUGCAUGAGUAGAUAUGAUCAAAUUGCAUGCCAGAGGAUGGAAUGAGCG